rnacentral:rRNA from 1 species
CGGGUGAGUAACACGUAUGCAAUCCACCUGUAACAGGGGGAUAACCCGGAGAAAUCCGGACUAAUACCCCAUAAUAUGGGCGCUCCGCAUGGAGAGCCCAUUAAAGAGAGCAAUUUUGGUUACAGACGAGCAUGCGCUCCAUUAGCCAGUUGGCGGGGUAACGGCCCACCAAGGCAACGAUCAGUAGCCGACCUGAGAGGGUGACCGGCCACAUUGGGACUGAGACACGGCCCAA